AAUUGUUCACAAUGGGCGCAAGCCUGAUGACGCAACGCCGCGUGGAGGAUGAAGGUCUUCGGAUUGUAAACUCCUGUUGCCCGGGACGAAAAGCCUCGACCUAACACGUCGAGGUCUGACGGUACCGGGUGAGGAAGCCCCGGCUAACUCUGUGCCAGCAGCCGCGGUAAUACAGAGGGGGCAAGCGUUGUUCGGAAUUACUGGGCGUAAAGGGCGCGUAGGCGGCCCGCUAAGUCGAACGUGAAAUCCCCGAGCUCAACUCGGGAACUGCGUCCGAUACUGGCGGGCUUGAAUCCGGGAGAGGGAUGCGGAAUUCCAGGUGUAGCGGUGAAAUGCGUAGAUAUUCGCAAGAACACCAGUGGCGAAGGCGGCUCACUGGCCCGAUACUGACGCUGAGGCACGAAAGCGUGGGGAGCAAAC
rnacentral:rRNA from 1 species